GACGACGGCUGGCGGCGUGGAUUAGGCAUGCAAGUCGAACGGUAUCAUCCUUUCGGGGAUGAGAGAGUGGCGAACGGGUGAGUAACACGUAGGUGAUCUACCCUCAAGACGGGGACAACCCAGGGAAACUUGGGCUAAUACCGGAUGUGAGUGUCCUUCGGGACAUUUGAAAGGUGGCUUCGGCUGCCGCUUGGGGAUGAGCCUGCGUCCUAUUAGCUAGUUGGUGAGGUAACGGCUCACCAAGGCAGUGAUAGGUAGGCGGCCUUAACGGGUGGUCGCCCACACUGGGAUUGAGAUACGGCCCAGACUCCUACGGGAGGCAGCAGUCGAGAAUAGUCUACAAUGGUCGAAAGACUGAUAGUGCGACGCCGCGUGAACGAAGAAGCCCUUCGGGGUGUAAAGUUCUUUUAUAUGUGAGCAGUGGGUUCCAUAUGAAUAGUAUGGGAUCAGAGAUAUUAGCAUAUGAAUAAGCAACGGCUAACUCCGUG
rnacentral:rRNA from 1 species